CCUACGGGAGGCAGCAGUGAGGAAUAUUGGUCAAUGGACGCGAGCCUGAACCAGCCAUGCCGCGUGCAGGAAGACGGCUCUAUGAGUUGUAAACUGCUUUUGUACGAGGGUAAACGCAAAUACGCGUAUCUGUCUGAAAGUAUCGUACGAAUAAGGAUCGGCUAACUCCGUGCCAGCAGCCGCGGUAAUACGGAGGAUUCAAGCGUUAUCCGGAUUUAUUGGGUUUAAAGGGUGCGUAGGCGGUCUGAUAAGUUAGAGGUGAAAUCCCGGGGCUUAACUUCGGAACUGCCUCUGAUACUGUUCGUGUAGAGAGUAGGUGCGGUAGGCGGAAUGUAUGGUGUAGCGGUGAAAUGCUUAGAGAUCAUACAGAACACCGAUUGCGAAGGCAGCUUACCAAGCUACUUCUGACGUUGAGGCACGAAAGCGUGGGGAGCAAACAGGAUUAGAUACCCGAGUAGUC
rnacentral:rRNA from 1 species